UACGGAGGAUGCGAGCGUUAUCCGGAUUUAUUGGGUUUAAAGGGUGCGCAGGCGGCGAGUUAAGUCAGCGGUAAAAUUUCGGGGCUCAACCUCCACGAGCCGUUGAAACUGGCGGUCUUGAGUGGGCGAGAAGUAUGCGGAAUGCGUGGUGUAGCGGUGAAAUGCAUAGAUAUCACGCAGAACCCCGAUUGCGAAGGCAGCAUACCGGCGCCCAACUGACGCUGAAGCACGAAAGCGUGGGUAUCGAACAGG
rnacentral:rRNA from 1 species